rnacentral:rRNA from 1 species
UAGGGAAUCUUCCACAAUGGGCGAAAGCCUGAUGGAGCAACGCCGCGUGUGUGAUGAAGGGUUUCGGCUCGUAAAGCUCUGUUGUUAAAGAAGAACACGUAUGAGAGUAACUGUUCAUACGUUGACGGUAUUUAACCAGAAAGUCACGGCUAACUACGUGCUAG